rnacentral:tRNA from 1 species
CUGGGGCUGGGGCUCAGUGGUAGAGGUUUGCCUAGCAUGCAUGAGGUAUGGGUUCGAUCCUCAGCACCACA